AUCAUGCAGUCGAGCGGAUGACAGAGGAGCUUGCUCCUCUAGAUUCAGCGGCGGACGGGUGAGUAACACGUGGGCAACCUGCCCUGUAGAUUGGGAUAACUCCGGGAAACCGGGGCUAAUACCGAAUAAUCCUUCGGACCUCAUGGUCCGAUGUUGAAAGGCGGCUUCGGCUGUCACUACAGGAUGGGCCCGCGGCGCAUUAGCUAGUUGGUGAGGUAACGGCUCACCAAGGCGACGAUGCGUAGCCGACCUGAGAGGGUGACCGGCCACACUGGGACUGAGACACGGCCCAGACUCCUACGGGAGGCAGCAGUAGGGAAUCUUCCGCAAUGGACGAAAGUCUGACGGAGCAACGCCGCGUGAGCGAAGAAGGUCUUCGGAUCGUAAAGCUCUGUUGUCAGGGAAGAACAAGUGCCGUUCGAACAGGGCGGUACCUUGACGGUACCUGACGAGGAAGCCACGGCUAACUACGUGCCAGCAGCCGCGGUAAU
rnacentral:rRNA from 1 species